GCGUGUUUGUUCAGGCUGGAGGCUGGUGGGGGGCAGGAAGCGGAGUUUCAAAGCGGUGUCACCCUUUGUUACCCCCUCUUCAGUUCCACCUCCCGCCCCAGGCUGCAUUCCAGAACCGGAGGGGGUCCUGCCCUGGGAGAAAUCCGCUUAGCCAGAGGCUCGGGUUACAUACAGCCCAGCUGCGGGCGAGGCCCAGGCCUUCCCAGACUGACACUGAGGGCUGCCCGGACUUUCCCAACUGCUAGACCUGCUCCUGGACCACCCUGUCCCCACCCUGGGACCCCCUUCUGGACCUUGGGCCUUAGGAGGGAGGAGGAAGGAGCCGGGAGGAGAAGAGAAGGGGGAAGGCCCCAGCCCCAUCCUCUGUAGAUGAUGGGGGAUGGGGUUUGGGUUGUUUUUCUGGAAGGGAGCGGGGACUGUUGUUUUCUGCCCCGAAGCUGACCUCGGAACAAAGCUUGCCAGGAGAUUCCUGGUUUGAAGGAGCCGAUGGCUUCCAUCCCUCCAGAGGGAACCGCCAGCCUGACCUCCAUCACCACCGACAGUUUUGCCUUUUCACCCAACUGAAAUCAGAGCACGCACUCUGCCUCUCCUGGUUUCUGCCCAGCGUACUAUUUGGGACCUGUCCCUGUCCAGGCCUGUCUCCGUAGCCCUCCCCUGCCAUUGUUCAGUAGUAUUUCCCUGUCUGUUCAUCCCCUUGCUAAUGGCCAGGCCUAUUGUUGCUGGUCCUGGGCAAUGAUAUGUGAAGCGCUGUGGGUCACCUGUCUUUGAGGAGAGGCAGGGACUGAUGUGACUUUUUAUUCCCCAGUACCCCACCAGGAGCAGGCAUUGACACAGGGCCCUGGCACAUGCUGUUCUCUCAGCCAGGAGCCACUCCGCCCCCUGUCCUUGGAGUGACUGGCUCCUUCUCAGCUUUCAGGUCUCAGCCUAACCGUCACCUUCUCAGAGACACCGUCCCUGACCACUUGGUCUCACAGCAUCUCCCAUCCCUUCACCCCAGAUCUUGUUCUUUGGUUCAGUUAUCAUGGUGGGAUCCCGAUCCCACCAUGGAUCCCGAUCCAGACCCCAAGAGAGGGUUCUUGGAUCUUGGGCAAAAGGCCGAGGCGGGUGGAUCACCUGAGGUCAGGAGUUCGAGACCAGCCUGGUAAAACCCUGUCUCUACUAAAAAUACAAAAAAUUAGCCAGGUGUGGUGGCCAGUGCCUGUAGUCCCAGCUACUCGGGAGACUGAGGCAGGAGAAUCACAUGAACCUGGGAGGCGGAGGUUGCAGUGAGCCGAGAUCUCCCCACUGUACUCCAACCUGGCGACAGAGUGAGACUCCAUCAAAUAAAAAAGGGUGGUUACUCCAUAGACAUAGCAGCCAGGGCUGCUUGUUGCCCACUUUAAUGGUUAUUUCUUGAUGAUAUGCUAAACAAGGGCCUUCCCAGCCUGAGACGGAGGGCCGCCCGGACUUUCCCAACUGCUGGCCCUGCUCCCGGCAGUUCAUGCCUCCCCUUUUUAGGUUAUAUAGGGCAACUUCCUGGCGUUGCCAUGGCAUCUGUGAACUGUCGUGGCGCUGGUGGGAGUGUAGCAGUGAGGACGACCAGAGGUUACUCUCAUCACUAUCUUAGUUUUGUUGGGUUUUAACCAGCUUCUUUAUAGCAACCUGUUUUAUCAGCAAGGUCUUUAUGACCUGUGCCUUGUGCCGACCUCCAGUCUCAUCCUGUGCGACUUAGAAUGCCUUAACCAUCUGGGAACGCAGCCCGGUAGGUUUCAGCCUGAUUUUACCCAGCCCCAUUCAAGAUGGAGUUGCUCUGGUUCACAUGCCUCUGACAGUGGGGCCUUUAUUGCUAUUUGCUGCCAUCUUAUCCCUGUGCUAUUUCUUUUCUGUGGUCCCCACCAGAGAUUUUGCAUCCCAGUGCCCAGCACAGGA
rnacentral:lncRNA from 10 species